rnacentral:rRNA from 1 species
CCUACGGGAGGCAGCAGUGGGGAAUAUUGCACAAUGGGGGAAACCCUGAUGCAGCGACGCCGCGUGCGUGAAGCAGUAUUUCGGUAUUUAAAGCUCUGUCAGCAGGGCAGAAAAUGACGGUACCUGCUUAAUACGCCCCUGCUAACUACGUGCCAGCAGCCGCGGUCAUACGUAGGGGGCAAGCGUUAUCCGGAUUUACUGGGUGUAAAGGGCGCGUAGAUGGCAGCACAAGUCUGGAGUGAAAUGCCGGGGCUUAACCCCGGAACUGCUUUGGAAACUGUGCAUCUAGAGUGCAGGAGAGGUAAGUGGAAGUCCUAGUGUAGCGGUGAAAUGCGUAGAUAUUAGGAGGAACACCAGUGGCGAAGGCGGCUUACUGGACUGUAACUGACGUUGAGGCUCGAAAGCGUGGGGAGCAAACAGGAUUAGAUACCCUAGUAGUC